UUUAACCGGAGGGGACUUUAGGUUUACCCUCCGUCCGUCUGUCCGUCUGUCUGUCUGUCUGUCAGUCCGUCAGUCCGUCCGUCCACAAAACUGGAUCCCGCGAUAACGCAAAAAGUACUGAAAAUAUUUUUAUGAAACUUGAUAUAUGGAUAGAUGGCAGUAUGGAGAUUAUGCACGUCUUUUUUUUUCCUUCCUAUGUUGAAAAUUCUGGUUGCUAUGGCAACAAAUAGUCUGAAAAUAUGGCAAAUUUAACACAUAAACUGGAUCCAGUGAUAACUCAAAAAGUACUGAAAAUAUUUUUAUGAAACUUGAAAUAUGGGUAGAUGGCAGUCUGGAGAUUAUGCACAUCUUUUUAUUUUCUUCCUAUGUUGAAAAUUCUGGUUGCUAUGGCAACAAAUAGCCUGAAUUUCAAGAUUUCUGAUUUAAAUUUUUCAGCCUUUUCACUAUAUGUUCUUUAUUUCUUAAGGUGUUUACUUCAAACUUUAAAUAUAAGUUCCUGGUCAUCAACCACAUCAUAUGUGACAAGGUUUAUAACUCUAGCACAAAAAAUAUUAAUAUUACCUCCCUUGAACUUAGAUUUUUUAGGGGAAAAAAUGUUGUCUUUUUUAAAUAACUUCUUUAUUUCCUAAUGUAUCUACUUCAAACUUCAUAUAUAUGUUUCUUAUUAUCACUCGACAUUUUUGAGAAGGUUAAAUACUCUAGCAAGACUAUUUCCAGAAUUAUGUCCCCCUUGAACUUAGAUUUUUUUCGAGAAACUGGUAUUUUCACUCCAACUUCUUCAUUCCUUAUAGGAUUUACUUUAAAAUCCCACAUCGUAAUAAUAUGACAAGGUUGUAUAAACAUAAUUUCCUUACUAAGCAUGGAAACUUAACACAUUACUGUGAUA